CCUUGCCAGAAUUUUAAUAGCAUCGAGGUGAGGAGCAGCCAGUAGCCCAGCGUACCACUUCACUCUUGCUUCCCCUACAGUCUCACUUGGUACAUCCCCAUGGUGGCAAACGGGACUUUUGCAAGGAGGAAAAGAACAGAGUCGUUUGUAGCCCAAGUUGACCAUGGAUUCACUACGUAGUCAAGAAUGACCUUGAAGUCUGGAGUCUUCCAGCUUCCACCAUCCAAAAGCUGGGAUUACAGGCAUAUGCUACCACACCUGGUUUUCUUUGCACUCUGCCAACUGAACACCAUCUCCAGCCCAUUUGCACCACAAUGCCCAGCUCAUUAAUCAAAUUUUAAACAAUUAAAAAUAAAUUAAUGGGACUGGGGCUGGAGAAAUGGCUCAGUGGUUACAAGCACUUGCUGCUCAUCCAGAAGACCUGAGUUUGGUUGUCAGCACCCUCAUCAAGUGGUUCACAACUGCCUGUAUCUCCAGAUCCAGAGAAUGUCAUUCUUGGUAAAUCCAUGAAGCAAAUAAACACAAAUGGAUACGAA